rnacentral:tRNA from 3 species
GGGGCUGUAGCUCAGCUGGGAGAGCACAUGACUGGCAGUCAUGAGGUCAGGGGUUCGAGCCCCCUCAGCUCCACCA